GUGCUGUCUUCUACAGCACAAAGACUAGAACUGGAACAAUGCAGAGAAGAUGGGCAUGGCUGUUGAACAGGGCUGACACACAAUUGUGAAAAUGUAAAAUUUAU